rnacentral:rRNA from 1 species
GACGAACGCUGGCGGCGCGCCUAACACAUGCAAGUCGAACGAGAGAUGAGGAGCUUGCUCUUCAAAUCGAGUGGCGAACGGGUGAGUAACGCGUGAGGAACCUGCCUCAAGGAGGGGGACAACAGUUGGAAACGACUGCUAAUACCGCAUAAGCCCACGGCUCGGCAUCGAGCAGAGGGAAAAGGAGCAAUCCGCUUUGAGAUGGCCUCGCGUCCGAUUAGCUAGUUGGUGAGGUAAUGGCCCACCAAGGCGACGAUCGGUAGCCGGACUGAGAGGUUGAACGGCCACACUGGAACUGAGACACGGUCCAGACUCCUACGGGAGGCAGCAGUGGGGAAUCUUCCGCAAUGGGCGAAAGCCUGACGGAGCAACGCCGCGUGAGUGAUGACGGCCUCGGUUGUAA